rnacentral:rRNA from 1 species
CAAAUCAGCCAUGUCACCCUGCAGCCCAAGACCGGUUACUCACUGAAGCUAAGCAGGGCUGAGCCUGGUCAGUACCUGGAUGGGAGACCACUAGGGAACACUAGGUUGAUGUUGGAA